rnacentral:rRNA from 1 species
AUUGAACGCUGGCGGAAUGCUUUACACAUGCAAGUCGAACGGCAGCACGGACUUCGGUCUGGUGGCGAGUGGCGAACGGGUGAGUAAUGUAUCGGAACGUGCCCAGUCGUGGGGGAUAACGUAGUGAAAAUUACGCUAAUACCGCAUACGAUCUAUGGAGGAAAGCGGGGGAUCGCAAGACCUCGCGCGAUUGUGGCGGCCGAUAUCAGAGUAGGUAGUGGGUGGGGUAAAGGCCCACCACUCCAACGACCUGUAGCUGGUCUGAGAGGACGACCAGCCACACUGGAACUGAGACACGGUCCAGACUCCUACGGGAGGCAGCAGUGGGGAAUUUUGGACAAUGGGCGCAAGCCUGAUCCAGCCAUUCCGCGUGCAGGAUGAAGGCCCUCGGGUUGUAAACUGCUUUUGUACAGAACGAAAAGGUUUCUACUAAUACUAGGAGCUCAUGACGGUACUGUAAGAAUAAGCACCGGCUAACUACGUGCCAGCAGCCGCAGUAA